GUGAUGAUCAACAGCAUCAGCAGAGAUUGCAGUCAUGGGAUUUGUGUGAGCUGGUCAGUGAUUGUGUGUGUGUUUCAGUGGCAGUAAGGACAGCUGUUAUAACAUGCUGCAGUGUGUGUCUGCUGGUCACUAUCAUGGCUCUCGCAAACCUCAUGCCUCACACACAUGGAGCCACGGGGAUUGACGCUCAAAGUGCUGGUAGCCAUUGACUUCUGUACUGUCAGCUGCUGAGAUGUUUGCAUGUGAGAUGCCUCGGAUCACUUCCUGUUGCUGAGGAGAAAUGAGCAGAACGGCUUCAGGAGAGAGAUUUCAGAGUCCCACAUGUGCGUGAAGCCAGGCAGCUGCAUUUCCUCUUAUUCUCACACAAGAGUGCUGUCAAAUAUAAAGGCCUUGUUGUUUUAGACUGGAGAAGGUUAGACUGGGAAUUAAAGGGAAUUUAAUGAUUCUGGUUCUGAUUCCAGACUCCUUUAGUUGUUCUGAGGCAGCAGAGCUCAGUAAUUGAUCCUGACUAUAUAACGCAAUAGAACAACAUGCUUAAAU